rnacentral:rRNA from 1 species
GACGAACGCUGGCGGCGUGCUUAACACAUGCAAGUCGAACGCUGAAGCUCAGCUUUUGUUGGGUGGAUGAGUGGCGAACGGGUGAGUAACACGUGAGUAACCUGCCCCCUUCUUUGGGAUAACGCCCGGAAACGGGUGCUAAUACUGGAUAUUCACUGGUCUUCGCAUGGGGGUUGGUGGAAAGGGUUUUUCUGGUGGGGGAUGGGCUCGCGGCCUAUCAGCUUGUUGGUGGGGUGAUGGCCUACCAAGGCUUUGACGGGUAGCCGGCCUGAGAGGGUGACCGGUCACAUAGGGACUGAGAUACGGCCCAGACUCCUACGGGGGGCAGCAGUGGGGAAUAUUGAACAAUGGGCGCAAGCCUGAUGCAGCGACGCCGCGUGAGGGAUGGAGGCCUUCGGGUUGUGAACCUCUUUCGCUAAUGGUCAAGCCGCAACAAUGGUUGUGGUGAGGGUAGUGGGUAAAGAAGCGCCGGCUAACUACGUG